rnacentral:lncRNA from 1 species
AGAGGUGGGGAAGUGCUCAAAGGUGCUGCAGUGAUCCAGCAGAAAUGCCAGUGGGAGGAACACAUCUGCCGCGCACAUGGAGCUCACCACAGUGCCCACAGCCACCCAAGAGCCACCGGCAUCCUGCCAGAGGUGGCACCAGGGUGUCUCAGAGCUGUCCUUGCUCGGCUGAGUGCUGAGGACCAGGAGAUUGGCCUCUUCUGGGUCACUGAAUUGGGGAAAUGCAGAGAGAACAACUCUGAGCAGUAUGUCAAACCAAGGCAUCUUGUCUGUUCCCAGAGCACACACGUGUCUGUAAUCGCUGUUUUGUUUCUCCCUCCCAUUGGUGAUGGUGGUGCCUGUUGCACAGGAGGGAGCAAAAAAGAAAAGCUCUCUGUCUUUCAGCUGUUUAGGAAAAUAAACACGUGUGACAGAGCUGACUCCUGGCUUGCCUUCUCUCGGAGGUAUUUUACAGUGUUUUUUCUCAUUGUAGGAGGCACCACAUCCCUGGGUGAGCUCACUUUGUCAGAGGUACCCCCACCUCUGAGGCAAGGCAGAGACACAGCUGGCAGCUCCCAUGUCCCCUUCCUCAGCUUGCCCAAACUUCCUCAUCUCUCACGCUCACAGGAGAGUGGAUCUGCAGACUGCUGCUUCCCAGCUCCAGCUGCCCAGCUGCGGUUCCCUGAGGCUGCCCUGCCUCUGAUGAGUCCAAACGUCACCAGCUGCAGGACGCAGAGCAGCUGCUGCGCAUUGGUAGCCAGCACACAGAGUGGGUGACUCAUGGAACCCCUGAGAACAAAAACAUCAGGAGAGCAGCCUAGCAUGAGCUUCCAAAGGAGAGGUGGGUGAGCUGCACGGGCAGGUGUUUCAGUUCAGGCCUCUUAGUUCUGCUCUGUCAGCUGUCUUGUAGUACCUCAGGGGAAGAUGAGCAAACAGGCAAUGGGCUAGCAUUGCUUGUUUUCUUGAGAUCCUCCGUGCUUUAAAAAGUUUACUAGAGGGAUGUGUUCCACUUGAAAAGUGACUGGUAGCUGACCUUUGCCUUAACUUGACCUAUGUGGAGAGAUGGGGCUGCCCAGCAAAGCAGAGGCCAAGCACCAAAACAGACGCAGACACUGCCACAAAGACAGGUGGGGCAUGGCCCAUGGGAAACAUCCUCAUCACGAGCUUGCUGGGCAAUGUCUAGAACUGAAGUGCAAGUUCAAGGAAGCAUCUCGACUUACUUCUGGCAAGGAGCACACACACUGGCAGUGAACAUCCUGCUGCUGUCUGCCCACAGGAGUCCCUCGCUCAGCCAGGGUUACGGUGUGAGAUGCACAGAAACCCCACUAGCCCUCUUUCUGCUGAUGCCACAUGCAAACAUCUGCAUCCAAUGGCUUUGGUUGGGUUGUUUCAGCAUUCAACAGCACAGGUCUCCAACGUCAUAGUUCCACUUUCCCCAUUUUCCUGUCUUCUGAAGUUCCAGGAAAGCGGUGCCGUGGUGAGUAGCCCCCAGAUCUCCAGCAAGCCCCUCCAGGGUCCAGCAUUGCUCUCACAUGGGAAACUGCUAAAAGCAAUGGAACAGGAACAUAUGUUACGGCAGGUGGAGAAAGUCAGGAUUCUUUCACCUCACAGAAGGAAAAGUACCCAAUUGCCACGACAUGCAAGUCAGUAGUGAAUUAUUUGACAGUCCUCAAAUGCACAGCUCCCCAUACCUUUUAACACUGUUAAAAGUAAUGGGCUGUCCAAAGCACUCUGGACAGCAUGGGAAUGACUGCUCCCUAAGACUUGGUUUUCAGCA